AACGCGAAGAACCUUACCCAGGCUUGACAUGCAGUUGAAUGGCGUAGAGAUAUGCCAGCUCGCAAGAGCAGCUGCACAGGUGCUGCAUGGCUGUCGUCAGCUCGUGCCGUGAGGUGUUGGGUUAAGUCCCGCAACGAGCGCAACCCUUAUCAUUAGUUGCCAACACGUAAUGGUGGGAACUCUAAUGAGACUGCCCGGGUUAACCGGGAGGAAGGUGAGGAUGACGUCAAGUCCGCAUGGCCCUUACGUCUGGGGCUACACACGUGCUACAAUGGUCGGUACAGAAGGCAGCGAAGCCGCGAGGUGGAGCAAAUCUUAUAAAGCCGAUCCCAGUUCAGAUUGUAGUCUGCAACUCGACUACAUGAAGUCGGAAUUGCUAGUAAUGGCGUGUCAGCAACAACGCCGUGAAUACGUUCCCGGGCCUUGUACACACCGCACGA
rnacentral:rRNA from 1 species